AUACUUACCUGGCACAGGCUUUACAGUGAUCCGCAAGGCUGUGGGCCCGGGCGAGACCUUUCCAUUGCACAUCGGUUUGGUUGACUUCGCGAGGAUCGUCCCAAAUGUGGGAUCGACUCGGGUGCGUACCGUAUAAGUGUGGGGACUGCGUCUGCGCUCUCCCCUU